CAGCGUCUUUCUGAACUCCCCCAGUCGUCCGAGCUUGCAUAGUACCAUCUGGACUCCUCCAGUAGUCGACCUUCCACGGUGUCCUCCAGAUUCCUCCAACGGACGAACUCCUAUCGUGCCAUCCGGACUCCUCCAGCAGUCAACCUUCCACAGUGUUGGAGCACGAUCCCGACUCCUCCCACGGACCUUGGGUGUAGCAGAACUAGCAACGAACAAAUCUG
rnacentral:lncRNA from 1 species